rnacentral:rRNA from 1 species
AUUGAACGCUGGCGGCAUGCCUUACACAUGCAAGUCGAACGGCAGCGCGGACUUCGGUCUGGCGGCGAGUGGCGAACGGGUGAGUAAUACAUCGGAACGUACCCUGUUGUGGGGGAUAACUAGUCGAAAGAUUAGCUAAUACCGCAUACGACCUGAGGGUGAAAGUGGGGGAUCGCAAGGCCUCACGCAGCAGGAGCGGCCGAUGUCUGAUUAGCUAGUUGGUGGGGUAAAGGCCCACCAAGGCGACGAUCAGUAGCUGGUCUGAGAGGACGAUCAGCCACACUGGGACUGAGACACGGCCCAGACUCCUACGGGAGGCAGCAGUGGGGAAUUUUGGACAAUGGGGACAACCCUGAUCCAGCAAUGCCGCGUGUGUGAAGAAGGCCUUCGGGUUGUAAAGCACUUUUGUCCGGAAAGAAAUCGCGCUGGUUAAUACCUGGCGUGGAUGACGGUACCGGAAGAAUAAGCACCGGCUAACUACGUG